UACGUAGGGUGCAAGCGUUGUCCGGAAUUAUUGGGCGUAAAGAGCUCGUAGGCGGUUCGUCGCGUCGGCUGUGAAAACCCGCGGCUCAACCGCGGGCCUGCAGUCGAUACGGGCAGGCUAGAGUUCGGUAGGGGAGACUGGAAUUCCUGGUGUAGCGGUGAAAUGCGCAGAUAUCAGGAGGAACACCGAUGGCGAAGGCAGGUCUCUGGGCCGAUACUGACGCUGAGGAGCGAAAGCGUGGGGAGCGAACAGG
rnacentral:rRNA from 1 species